CCACCGCUCCUGGCCUGCCUGUUUUAUUCUGAGAAUUUUCUGGCUUUAGGUCUUAAACUUAGAUCUUUGAUUAUUUUUCAGUUCUCGUAAAUGGUGUAUAAAUGAUGUGAGGUAAAGGAGCCAACUUCAUUCAUUCAUUGACAUUUGUUUUGCAAAUCGUUGGCUUUUUGUUUUUGUUUUUUGGUUUUUUUUUUUUUUUUUUGAGACGGAGUUUUGCUCUUGCCCAGGCUGUAGUGCAAUGGCUCAAUCAUGGCUCACUGCAACCUCCGCCUCCCAGGUUCAAGCGAUUCUCCUGCCUCAGCCUCCCAAAUAGCUGGGAUUACAGGCAUGCACCACCACGCCCCCUAAUAUUGUAUUUUUAGUAGAGAUGGGCUUUCUCCAUGUUGGUCAGUCUGGUCUCGAACUCCGGACCUCAGGUGAUCCCCCCACCUCGACCUCCCAAAGUGCUGGGAUUACAGGCAUGAGCCACCGUGCCUGGCUGUUUUGUUUGUUUUGAGAUAGGGUCUCAACUCUGUUGCCUAGGCUGGAUCGCAGUGGCAUGAUCACAGCUCAUUGCAGCUUUGACCUCCCCAGGCUCAGGUGAUGCUCCCACCUCACCCGCCUGAGUAGCUGGGACCACAGACGUGCAUCACUCUUGGCUUUUUUAAGACAGGGUUUCGCCAUAUUGCCCAGGCUGGUCUCCUGGGCACAAGCAAUCUACCUGCCUUGGCUUCCCAAAGUGCUGGGAUCACAGGCAUCAGCCAGCAUGCCCAGCCCUGUUUGCAUUUGAAUAUCCAAUUGUCACAGAACCAUUUGCUGGAGAGAGUCUUCUUUCUCCAUUGGUCUCAGUACCCUUGUAAAAAAAAAUCAAAUGACCAUAGAUGUAUAGUCAUAGACUUUAUUUGUGGACUCUCAAUUCUAUUCCAUUGAUCUAUAUGCCUAUCCUUUUAUCAGUACUAAAACCUACUAUAAACCUACAGUAAUCAAGUUUUGAAAUUGGGUGAUAUAAGUCUUCCAGCUGUUUCACCAUGUUAGCCAGACUGUUCUCGAACUCCUGACCUCAGGUGAUCCGCCUGCCCUGGCCUCCUGAUGUGCUGGGAUUACUGGCGUUAGCCACUUCACCCAGCAAGCCUCCAUGGUUUGAGAGGAGAAAUCUUUUGUUAAUUUUGUUGAGAAUUCUUUUUUCUUUCUUUCUCUUUGUAUUUAUUAUUACUUUUUUUUUUUUUUCUGAGAAGGAGUUUUGCUCUUGUUGUCCAGGCUGGAGUGCAAUGGUCCAAUCUUGGCUUACUGCAACCUCCACCUCCCGGGUUCAAGCGAGUCUCCUCCCUCAGCCUCCGGAGUAGCUGGGAUUACAGGUGCAUGCCACCAGGCCCGGCUAAUUUUUUUUGUAUUUUUAGUAGAGACACGGUUUUGCCAUAUUGGCCAGUCUG
rnacentral:lncRNA from 1 species